rnacentral:rRNA from 1 species
AGCGAACGCUGGCGGCAGGCCUAACACAUGCAAGUCGAGCGAACCUUUCGGGGUUAGUGGCGGACGGGUGAGUAACACGUGGGAACGUGCCUUUAGGUUCGGAAUAACUCAGGGAAACUUGUGCUAAUACCGAAUGUGCCCUUCGGGGGAAAGAUUUAUCGCCUUUAGAGCGGCCCGCGUCUGAUUAGCUAGUUGGUUGAGGUAAUGGCUCACCAAGGCGACGAUCAGUAGCUGGUCUGAGAGGAUGAUCAGCCACAUUGGGACUGAGACACGGCCCAAACUCCUACGGGAGGCAGCAGUGGGGAAUCUUGCGCAAUGGGCGAAAGCCUGACGCAGCCAUGCCGCGUGAAUGAUGAAGGUCUUAGGAUUGUAAAAUUCUUUCACCGGGGACGAUAAUGACGGUACCCGGAGAAGAAGCCCCGGCUAACUUCGU